rnacentral:rRNA from 1 species
AGUGAACGCUGGCGGCGUGCCUAAUACAUGCAAGUCGAACGGAGUGGCGCACGGGUGUGUAAUAUAUAGCUAAUCUGCCCCUUGCUGGAGGACAACAUUUAGAAAUGACUGCUAAUACUCCAUAGCAAGGGAUGAGACUAUAUCGUAUCAGCUAGUCGGUGGGGUAACGGCCUACCGAGGCUAUGACGCGUAACUGGUCUGAGAGGAUGAUCAGUCAAAUUGGAACUGAGACACGGGCCAAAAACAUACGGGAGGGAGCAGAAGGGAAGAUGGCGCAAUGGGGGAGACCCUGACGCAGCAACGCCGCGUGGAGGAUGACACUUGUCGGAGCGUAAACUCAUGUUGUUAGGGAAGCGGUACCUAACGAAUAAGCACCGGCUAACUCCGUGCCAGCAGCCGCGGUAAUUC